AAGGCGCUUGAGAGAACUCGGGUGAAGGAACUCGGCAAAAUUGUACCGUAACUUCGGGAGAAGGUACGCCUCUGUUUGUGAACACUUCGCGUGGUAAGCAAAUGGAGGCCGCAGUGACCAGGUGGCUGGGACUGUUUAUUAAAAACACAGCACUCUGCAAACUCGUAAGAGGACGUAUAGGGUGUGACACCUGCCCGGUGCCGGAAGGUUAAUUGAUGGGGUUAGUUUUCGGACGAAGCUCUUGAUCGAAGCCCCGGUAAACGGCGGCCGUAACAAUAACGGUCCUAAGGUAGCGAAAUUCCUUGUCGGGUAAGUUCCGACCUGCACGAAUGGCGUAACGAUCUGGGCACUGUCUCAACGAGAGACUCGGUGAAAUUGUAGUAGCGGUGUAGAUGCCGUUUACCCGCAGCUAGACGGAAAGACCCCGUGAACCUUUACUACAGCUUGGCACUGAACAUUGAACCUACAUGUGUAGGAUAGGUGGGAGGCUUUGAAGCACAGUCGCUAGAUUGUGUGGAGCCGUCCUUGAAAUACCACCCUUGUAUGUUUGAUGUUCUAACAUUGUUCCCUUAUCGGGAAUGUGGACAGUGUCUGGUGGGUAGUUUGACUGGGGCGGUCUCCUCCCAAAUAGUAACGGAGGAGCACGAAGGUUAGCUAAUCACGGUCGGACAUCGUGAGGUUAGUGCAAUGGCAUAAGCUAGCUUAACUGCGAGACAGACACGUCGAGCAGGUACGAAAGUAGGUCAUAGUGAUCCGGUGGUUCUGUAUGGAAGGGCCAUCGCUCAACGGAUAAAAGGUACUCCGGGGAUAACAGGCUGAUACCGCCCAAGAGUUCAUAUCGACGGCGGUGUUUGGCACCUCGAUGUCGGCUCAUCACAUCCUGGGGCUGAAGUCGGUCCCAAGGGUAUGGCUGUUCGCCAUUUAAAGUGGUACGCGAGCUGGGUUUAGAACGUCGUGAGACAGUUCGGUCCCUAUCUGGUGUGGGCGUUGGAUGAUUGAUGGGAGCUGCUCCUAGUACGAGAGGACCGGAGUGGACGAACCGCUGGUGUUCGGGUUGUCAUGCCAAUGGCAUUGCCCGGUAGCUAUGUUCGGAACGGAUAACCGCUGAAAGCAUCUAAGCGGGAAGCCGGCCCAAAGAUGAGUCAUCCCUGACCUUUAAGGUCUGGAAGGGUUGUUAUAGACGAUGACGUUGAUAGGCAGGGUGUGGAAGCGUUGUAAGGCGUUAAGCUAACCUGUACUAAUUGCCCGAGAGGCUUAACC
rnacentral:rRNA from 1 species